CCUACGUGGGGCAGCAGUGAGGAAUAUUGGUCAAUGGGCGGGAGCCUGAACCAGCCAAGUAGCGUGAAGGAUGACAGCCCUAUGGGUUUUAAACUUCUUUUAUAAGGGAAUAAAGUGCCCCACGUGUGGGGUGUUGUAUGUACCUUAUGAAUAAGCAUCGGCUAAUUCCGUGCCAGACGACGCGGUAAUACGGAAGAGGGGAGCGUUAUCCGGAUGUAUUGGGUUUAAAGGGAGCUUAGGCGGUUCCAUAAGGCAGCGGUAAAAUCGUCCGGCUCAAACGUACCGUGCCGUUGAAACUGUGGGACUUGUGUAUGCGCAGGGUACAUGGAAUUCGUGGUGUAGCGGUGAAAUGCUUAGAUAUCACGAAGAACUCCGAUCGCGAAGGCAUUGUACCGGAGCAAGACUGACGCUGAGGCUCGAAAGUGCGGGUAUCAAACAGGAUUAGAUACCCGGGUAGUC
rnacentral:rRNA from 1 species